rnacentral:rRNA from 1 species
UACGGAGGGUGCAAGCGUUAUCCGGAUUCACUGGGUUUAAAGGGUGCGUAGGUGGGAUGGUAAGUCAGUGGUGAAAUCUCCAAGCUUAACUUGGAAACUGCCGUUGAUACUAUCAAUCUUGAAUACCGUGGAGGUCAGCGGAAUAUGUCAUGUAGCGGUGAAAUGCUUAGAUAUGACAUAGAACACCAAUUGCGAAGGCAGCUGGCUACACGAAUAUUGACACUGAUGCACGAAAGCGUGGGGAUCAAACAGG